CAUACUUAAAUUUUUUUAAUUUUUCUCUCUUUUCGGGAACAUGAAAACAUAAGAAGGUUUCUAUCUACGACCGUAAAGCCCUAUGCCAAACCCCCAGCGCCCCACUCUCCUUCUUUCAUUUGGAGCAGCAGUAGCUUCUCAUUUCCCAAACAAAACCUGCAUCAGUCUCACUGACCAACUCGAUCCCUUCAUCACCCUCACUGCGGAUCACCAAUUCGUCCCCUUCAUCAAACCUCCAAUGGCGACUCGUGCAUUUUCGCGAUCAAAGUUCGCAUUUUUCUCUUCAAUACUCCUUCAAAACCUGAAAACAACGCCCAUCAAGUCGACCCCAAUGCUUCUAAAAUCCACAGAACUUGAACUCGAGUCCUGGAGAUCCAUUCGUGGGCUGAGGCUGUAUCACGACGGGAGGCCCAGAGGACCGCUCUGGAGGGUCAAAAAGCUGAUCGGCAAAGAAGCGCUUUUCGUAAUCUCGGGUUUGAAGCGGUUCGAGGACGACGAAGAGAUGCUCGGGAAGUUUGUAAAUACCCCCGUUUUGAGACUGUUGAAGAUGGAUAUGAUUGUUGUUCUCACUGAGCUCAAGCGCCAGGAAGAAGUCGCUUUGGCAAUUAAGUUGUGCUGUGUGAAUCCACUUAUGUGUUGUUAGUUUACAGUCGUUGCGAAAUGGGGCUCCGUGGGUUGCACGCUAUGUAUUUGGUUGAAUGCCUGACUCAAUGUGUGAUCUUGGGCACCUUCAGUAAUGCUUUGUCAAUACAGUAUUAGAAGCAAUGCUUAGCUUUAGUAUAAGUGUUUCUGGGUCUUCCCGUUAGUAGUGCAGGUUCAUGGUGUAUGGUAAAGCGCGAUCGGAGUGACGUGGUUUUCGUGGCCAAAUCCAUCUUUUGACUCAAGACGGGCAUUUUUUUCACUUGUAGUUAUAGGUGCUAGGACAGCUCUUUGGAUUUGGAAAUAGCUAGUAAUGGUGAAAUGUUGAAAUCUCAUUCAUGAGAGUCACAUUACAGGUAUGCUGUGGUUUUGCACAAUGGUGAAAUGUUGAAACCCAACUCUUCAAAUACACAAUGGUGCUUUCCUUAUUCGUUGUUUCCUGUGUUAAAUGCCGAACCACAUUACAGGUAUGCUGUGGUUUUGCAGACUUGUUUAUCAGAGUACAUUUAGACCAUUAUUUGGAAUGAAUUCCUUCUAGACUGCACAUCUUUAUUUCUGUUUAACUACAUAUGCAAUGAACAUAUAUGUCUUUGUUUAUUGGAAUUACAAGCAACUUGGUGAAUUUUGGGGUAUUUAAUGUUAUUCGAAAGCAAGACUGGUACAAACCGGAUGUCUAUCUGUAUUAGGACUUAAUUAUUGCAUUAGCAAGAUCUAAGAAAAUGGAGGAUGUUAUGCUACUGUGCGACAGCAUGAAAAAGGAGGAUCUGUUUCCUGAUUCUCAAACAUAUACAGAAGUUGUCAGGGGUUUUUUGAACUCUGGUUGUCCUGCAGAUGCAAUGAACAUUUAUGAGGACAUGAAGCAGUCUCCAGAUCCGCCGGAGGAUCUAAGAAAAAAUUGUUUCUUCUCCCUCUUUCCUUUGGCUGCAGCAGAACUUGUAACUUAAUUUGCAGCCAUGACUGCUCCUCCUCCCCCACAGCCCAGACUUGGGUGGUUCACAUGGCCACUCAUUCAAGCUUUUGGAUGGUCCAAGAUCACUCUGGUCCCUUAAAGGUGUGUUUGUUUGCACUUACUGUCUUUCACUGGACUAAGUUCCCUUGCUAAUAGGUCUUAGCGAGACCCCCCCCCCCCCCGAUUCGGAGAGAACUGCUAAGCCACCUUGUAAUCCCGUGAUCUCCCUUCUCCGUCGUACAUUCGCACAUCAACCGUAGCAGUAGCUUGCUCCCUCGUGCCUUCGCACCUUCGCCCCUUCCCUUCUCCUUCCUUGUCGCACCACCUCGUAGUCGCCCAACAUAUAAACAAUCGACAACGGACCUGUAUUGCUGGCGAUGGUCUUCGUUUGGUGCUUUCUGUCGCGUCAUGAAAUCGGAGUCCUAGCAGUUGAAGGAAAAGAAGACGAACAAGUUUGCCUUGGAUUUGGGUGCCCUAGCUUUCUGAUUUCUAAAUUCAUUUGGGUUUUCUGGUCUUUCAUGUCGAUCUCUGUUGAAUUGUAGUUGGGUUAAUUUUCUUUUGAUGGGUUAGUGGAUUGGAUUGCCAUCUUAAACCCUAGAUUUUGCUUUAUUUGAAAUUUACAACUCUAAUUGGGGUUGGGUUUUCAGAAUAUCUUCCAUUUCUGUUUUUUCAUGUUGAAUUUCAGUAAUUUUCCUUCAUAU